UACGUAGGGUGCAAGCGUUGUCCGGAAUCAUUGGGCGUAAAGCGCGCGUAGGCGGCCCCGUAAGUCCGCUGUGAAAGUCAAAGGCUCAACCUUUGAAAGCCGGUGGAUACUGGGGGGCUAGAGUCCGGAAGAGGCGAGUGGAAUUCCUGGUGUAGCGGUGGAAUGCGCAGAUAUCAGGAGGAACACCAAUAGCGAAGGCAGCUCGCUGGGACGGUACUGACGCUAAGGCGCGAAAGCGUGGGGAGCAAACAGG
rnacentral:rRNA from 1 species